rnacentral:rRNA from 1 species
UACGAAGGGUGCAAGCGUUACUCGGAAUUACUGGGCGUAAAGCGUGCGUAGGUGGUUUGUUAAGUCUGAUGUGAAAGCCCUGGGCUCAACCUGGGAACUGCAUUGGAAACUGGCUUACUAGAGUGCGGUAGAGGGGUGCGGAAUUCCCGGUGUAGCAGUGAAAUGCGUAGAUAUCGGGAGGAACAUCCGUGGCGAAGGCGGCUAACUGGUCCAGCACCGACGUUCAGGCACGAAAGCGUGGGGAGCAAACAGG